rnacentral:rRNA from 1 species
GGGUUGUGAGGUUAAGCGACUAAGCGUACACGGUGGAUGCCCUGGCAGUCAGAGGCGAUGAAGGGCGUGCUAAUCUGCGAUAAGCGCCGGUAAGGUGAUAUGAACCGUUAUAACCGGCGAUACCCGAAUGGGGAAACCCAGUGUGACUCGUCACACUAUCAUUAACUGAAUCCAUAGGUUAAUGAGGCGAACCGGGGGAACUGAAACAUCUAAGUACCCCGAGGAAAAGAAAUCAACCGAGAUUCCCCCAGUAGCGGCGAGCGAACGGGGAGGAGCCCAGAGCCUGAAUCAGCAUGUGUGUUAGUGGAAGCGUCUGGAAAGGCGCGCGAUACAGGGUGACAGCCCCGUACACAAAAGCGCAUGUGCUGUGAGCUCGAUGAGUAGGGCGGGACACGUGGUAUCCUGUCUGAAUAUGGGGGGACCAUCCUCCAAGGCUAAAUACUCCUGACUGACCGAUAGUGAACCAGUACCGUGAGGGAAAGGCGAAAAGAACCCCGGCGAGGGGAGUGAAAAAGAACCUGAAACCGUGUACGUACAAGCAGUGGGAGCACCCUUUGGGGUGUGACUGCGUACCUUUUGUAUAAUGGGUCAGCGACUUAUAUUCUGUAGCAA